GCCGGGCGUCGUGGCCCACGCCUGUAAUCCCAGCUACUCGGGAGGCUGAGGCAGGAGAAUUGCUCGAACCCAGGAGGCGGAGGUUGCAGUGAGCCAAGAUCGUGCCACUGCACUCUAGCCUGGGCGACAGAGUGAGACUCCGUCUCAA
ensembl:misc_RNA Metazoa_SRP Metazoan signal recognition particle RNA